UACGAAGGGGGCUAGCGUUGUUCGGAUUUACUGGGCGUAAAGCGCACGUAGGCGGAUCUUUAAGUCAGGGGUGAAAUCCUGGAGCUCAACUCCAGAACUGCCUUUGAUACUGAGGACCUUGAGUUCGGGAGAGGUGAGUGGAACUGCGAGUGUAGAGGUGAAAUUCGUAGAUAUUCGCAAGAACACCAGUGGCGAAGGCGGCCAACUGGACCAUUACUGACGCUGAGGCGCGAAAAGCGUGGGGAGCAAACAGGG
rnacentral:rRNA from 1 species